GUGAUUCCGAGUUCCUCGCUCCUCUGGCAUUUCCGGGUCCCGCUUCCGUCCAGGUACGGUCAGGCUUUAUCACGGUGUAACGCGGUGAAUACUGCAAGGCUAAUUUGUAGUUUAUAGUCUUAGAGCGGCGCUGGUGGUGUGUGCAUUGAGGCGAAUUGGCGCCAAAUAUCGCGUUCAGAGAUCACAACAUUUAGCCGGUGGCUGAAUGAUAUGUAUAUGUAUGUCGAGCCGCGGUACCUGUGAGUAAUUAUACAACUUCGCGUGUGAUGUUUGUUCAAUCUAAUGGAGCCAGUGAGUCUUGGUGGGACAGGGGAGUGGGUUUGGAUGACCUCCAGAGUUGUUGCUGGCCUGCCUUGUCCCUGCCAAGCCUGGGCCUGGAGAAGUGCUUAGUUUUAAAACUUUUGUUGUGCUUCAUGGGAAAAUGUUUAUAUCUUCAUGUCAAGUUUUAAAUGAUGCUGAAGUGUCAUAAUAAAAUUACUUAUAUUUGUACUUGUCUCACUCUCAUGUUCCUUACCCCGAGUGGUGAAACUUGUGUGCCUUUUUAUUUGGGAGUAUUUCCCUGGCUCUCCCCCAGGGUGGUGUAUUUGGAUUUACUGAAUUUGUUUUCCUUCCGCUUGGGAAUGACACAUUUUGGUGUCAUUGGCAGGAUAAAUGUCUCCCUCCACUUGGGAAUUGCCACA